rnacentral:rRNA from 1 species
CCAAUAGCGUAUAUUAAAGUUGUUGCAGUUAAAAAGCUCGUAGUUGAAUUUCGGGGUUAGUAGGUUGGUCAUGCCUCUGGUAUGUACUGGUCUCACUGAUUCCUCCUUCCUGAUGAACCGUAAUGCCAUUAAUUUGGUGUUGCGGGGAAUUUGGACUGUUACUUUGAAAAAAUUAGAGUGUUUAAAGCAGGCUAACGCUUGAAUACAUUAGCAUGGAAUAAUGAAAUAGGACGUUCGAUCCUAUUUUGUUGGUUUCUAGGAUUGACGUAAUGAUUAAUAGGGAUAGUUGGGGGCAUUAGUAUUCAAUUGUCAGAGGUGAAAUUCUUGGAUUUAUUGAAGACUAACUACUGCGAAAGCAUUUGCCAAGGAUGUUUUCAUUAAUCAAGAACGAAAGUUAGGGGAUCGAAGACGAUCAGAUACCGUCGUAGUCUUAACCAUAAACUAUGCCGACUAGGGAUCGGAUGAUGUUAAUUUUUUAAUGACUCGUUUGGCACCUUACG